UACGGAGGGUGCGAGCGUUGUCCGGAAUCACUGGGCGUAAAGGGCGCGUAGGCGGCGCGGAUAGUCGGCGGUGAAAGCCCGGAGCUCAACUCCGGGUCGGCCGUCGAUACUUCCGGGCUUGAGCACUGUAGAGGCAGAUGGAAUUCCGGGUGUAGCGGUGGAAUGCGUAGAGAUCCGGAAGAACACCGGUGGCGAAGGCGGUCUGGCUGGGCAGUUGCUGACGCUGAUGCGCG
rnacentral:rRNA from 1 species